AGGAUGAUGAGGUUGCUAAGUGCAGCAGCGCUGCACUGAAGAUGAAUUCAGCCUGGGGUGUUUUCUUGCAAAUGUGUCACCAUCAAUCCCUGCAUAUUGCUCUGAAACACUCAAGCUUUUCUUGACACAUAAGCUGUGAGAACCCCAGAAGAGGCAGGGCGCAGGGAACAACAAGGUACGUCUAGACAUUGGAAAAGUAAACUGAUCCCUCAAAAAAAAAAAUCACCCCGAGCGUUAGCAAGACACCAACACAUACAACAGCAGGCUGGAGCUGCAGAGCAUCCCUGGAAGAGGAGAAGAUCAAGCCUGGAAGCUGCUGUCAGGGAAACCAGCAGGACUGAAGUCUCCAAUGGCCUGGGACUAAUUCAGCCCCUGUCUGUAACAGGCGAGUGAUGUGGUGGAUGCACUGGCUGAGGAGGUGGAUUUGCCUGGCAGAAUGUGCAUUUUAAUUGCUCAUUUUCUUUCUUUUUUUUUUUUUUUUUUUGAAUGUGAUUUGAUUGCUAAUUAUGGUUUCUGCAUUUGUAAUUAGAAUGUAUAGCAGAUGGUGGAGGCUUUGGCUGAAGUGAUGCGGCCAUUAAAAUAAUUCAUGUUACCCCCUGACAGUUCGCUGGGAAAGGGGUGUUUCCAUGUGAAAAUACCCUGGGAGGUGCUCUACUGGAGACACGCUGUUUAAAAAGUGCUGGAAAAAGGUGGAAAUCAGCAGUGCCCCACUGAACUCAGCAUCCAGGCUACAGCACAGCACCUGGGAAUCUGUUCUCCAUGGAGAGACCCAUUUGUCCUUGUACAGGAUGGGAUGGCACAGCUGCACACGGUGUGUGCCCGCAUUCGACAUCUGCACGCAGCCCUCGGGAGCCAACCUGCAGACCUGGCAGCAGCAGGCAUGACUGCAGCCAUGCACAGCACAUAUGGCUUAAAUCACCAGCUAACCCAGAUGAUUGUACUUAAAAACAAAAAGGAAAGAAAAAGCAACAGAAGCAAAUCACCUCAGUGCUUAGCAGACUGCACCUGGUGGGGUCUGAGGGGUUCUCCCCCAACAACCAAAGCCUGCUGUCAGUUUUCAGCUGUGCCUGUGAGCACUUUUGCUGUCACGGUGACUUGCAAGGAUUCUGGCUGAAUCCCUGACAGCUCCAACUACUCCGUUAACCUUUGUUUUUCCGCUGGACCUAAUCAAAGAUACUGUUUGUUAAAAUCCUAUUGUCUCGGUAGCAAAGAACAAGGACAAGCUCCUCUGUGGUGAUUUAACACGUCCGACAGUUCAGUGUAGAGAUUUAUUACAGCCAGCAGAAAGUGCAAACAUGCAGUGCCCAAGUCAUUACUUUUAAUUUGCCAUUUCUUUAAAAAAAUGUAUACACAAGGCUAAAGCCCAGGCCCUUCCUUACAGCUCGGUGUAAUCUCUUGUCAGCCAGGGAACACAGCAAAGCAGAAACCCGUGCCCUUCCCUUCAGAGGAAGGACAGGAAGAUUUAGCCCCUCAGCCAUUUAAAGGCAGACUACCACACUCCUGCCAGACAUGUUUUCCGACUAGAAACUGAUCUAAAACUAUGGAAUUAACCCAGCCCGGUGGUUUAAAUUACCAGUUCUGCCCUGGAUCCUGUCUGAGAGGUUAUGGCAAGAGCCCACAGAAGUUAGCUAAUUAAAAGAUGGCAUACUUUCUAUUUUCUUUAUUUGAGCAAUGGGCUUUUCCUUCCGAAACACUUUUAUUAAGUUGUCAGGGACUGUAUCAUAACAAAUAAAGC
ensembl:lncRNA